rnacentral:rRNA from 2 species
UGGGGAAUAUUGCGCAAUGGGCGAAAGCCUGACGCAGCAACGCCGCGUGCGGGAUGAAGGCCUUCGGGUUGUAAACCGCUUUCAGCAGGGACGAAGGUUUUCUGACGGUACCUGCAGAAGAAGCACCGGCUAACUACGUGCCAGCAGCCGCGGUGAUACGUAGGGUGCGAGCGUUGUCCGGAAUUAUUGGGCGUAAAGAGCUUGUAGGCGGUCUGUUGCGUCGGAAGUGAAAACUCAGGGCUUAACCCUGAGCCUGCUUUCGAUACGGGCAGACUUGAGGGAUGUAGGGGAGAACGGAAUUCCUGGUGGAGCGGUGGAAUGCGCAGAUAUCAGGAGGAACACCAGUGGCGAAGGCGGUUCUCUGGACAUCUCCUGACGCUGAGAAGCGAAAGCGUGGGGAGCAAACAGG